CGUGGGUAACCUGCCCAAGAGAUCGGGAUAACACCUGGAAACAGAUGCUAAUACCGGAUAACAACAGAUGAUGCCUAUCAAACUGUUUAAAAGAUGGUUCUGCUAUCACUCUUGGAUGGACCUGCGGUGCAUUAGCUAGUUGGUAGGGUAACGGCCUACCAAGGCGAUGAUGCAUAGCCGAGUUGAGAGACUGAUCGGCCACAUUGGGACUGAGACACGGCCCAAACUCCUACGGGAGGCAGCAGUA
rnacentral:rRNA from 1 species